AUUGAACGCUGGCGGCAGGCCUAACAAAUGCAAGUCGAACGAGUGGCGGACGGGUGAGUAAUGUCUGAGAAACUGCCAGAUGGGGGGGGCUAACUACUGGAAACGGUAGCUAAUAACGCAUAACAUCGGAUGUGACCAGAUGGGAUUAGCUAGUAGGUGGGGUAACGGCUCACCUAGGCGACGAUCCCUAGCUGGGCUGAGAGGAUGACCAGCCACACGUGAACUGAGACACGGUCCAGACUCCUCCGGGAGGCAGCAGUGGGGAAUAUUGCACAAUGGGGGCAAUCCUGAUGCAGCCAUGCCGCGGGUAUGAAGAAGGCUGUCGGGUUGUAAAGUACUUUCAGCGAGGAGGCGUUACUCGCAGAAGAAGCAUCGGCUAACUCCGUGCCAGCAGCCGCGGUAAUUC
rnacentral:rRNA from 1 species